GAGUCAGCUAGGAGGAGGCCAGAGGGAAACAGUGGGGCUUUCGAAGCUUAUCAAAAGCAAACCUUGCUCUUUUGAAAAAGCAUUUUCCAAAGCAACCUGGGGACAAAGUGGGGUUAAAUCUUACACAGAUUGCUUAUGAGCAAGAGUUAAGUGGCUAACAAGCCAUGAAAUCUUACGGAGAAGCAGGUAAAGCCAAAAUUAAAAACUCCCUCCGAGUCAGCCCAUUCUGCGACCCACCUCCUGCCUUUUGCGGCAGGAACUCUACUCCAUCGAGGGGCUUUGCUGCAGUGGCACUGCCCACGCAUACUCAACUAAAAGACUCAGACCACGCCAGCCAUGCCACGAGGAUGCCUCCAAGCUGUGAGAAAAUCAAGCAUCUACAAGGAAAGGCCACAUGUCGGCAUUCCAGCCACAGCCUCAGCUGAGGUCAGAGCCAACAGCCAGUAUCAACCACUAACCACACAAGUGAAGGAGACUUCGAAGCUUCAAACUGCCCCAGCUAAUGCCAAGUGGAGCAGAGAUGAGUUGUCCCUGCCGAAAUUGUGGACUCAUGGGCAAAAUAAAUGUAGUCGUUUUAAGACA
rnacentral:sRNA from 1 species